AAGAAUAAGGUACAGUCAGGUGUCUAACGACCUAACAGAGAAGUCCGGUGCAAUACCGGCGCGGUCCCGCCGCUGUAAGGAAGAGGGAGAUUGCAAGAUGUCACUGCAUGGAAAUGCGGGAAGGCGCAAUCGACCGAUGAUGCCGAGCCAGAAGAACUGCCUGACGAAGAGUCACCGGU
rnacentral:ncRNA from 21 species